UACGUAGGGUGCUAGCGUUGUCCGGAAUUAUUGGGCGUAAAGGGCGCGUAGGCGGCAUCGCAAGUGGAAGGUGAAAUCCCUCGGCUUAACCGAGGAACUGCCCUCCAAACUGCGUUGCUUGAGGCCGGGAGAGGUGAGUGGAAUUCCCAGUGUAGCGGUGAAAUGCGUAGAGAUCAGGAGGAACACCUGUGGUGUAGACAGCUUACUGGACGGUCACUGACGCUGAGGCACGAAAGCGUGGGUAGCAAACAGG
rnacentral:rRNA from 1 species